rnacentral:rRNA from 1 species
AGUGAACGCUGGCGGUAGGCCUAACACAUGCAAGUCGAACGGCAGCACAGUAAGAGCUUGCUCUUACGGGUGGCGAGUGGCGGACGGGUGAGGAAUACAUCGGAAUCUACUUUUUCGUGGGGGAUAACGUAGGGAAACUUACGCUAAUACCGCAUACGACCUACGGUUGAAAGCAGGGGAUCUUCGGACCUUGCGCGAUUGAAUGAGCCGAUGUCGGAUUAGCUAGUUGGCGGGGUAAAGGCCCACCAAGGCGACGAUCCGUAGCUGGUCUGAGAGGAUGAUCAGCGACACUGGAACGGAGACACGGUCAAGACUCCUACGGGAGGCAGCAGUGGGGAAUAUUGGACAAUGGGCGCAAGCCUGAUCCAGCCAGACCGCGUGGGUGAAGAAGGCCUUCGGGUUGUAAAGACCUUUUGUUGGGAAAGAAAAGCAGCAGGUUAAUACCACGCUGUUCUGACGGUACCCAAAGAAUAAGCACCGGCUAACUUCGUG